rnacentral:rRNA from 1 species
GAUGAACGCUGGCGGCGUGCCUAACACAUGCAAGUCGAACGGAAAGGCCCUGCGUUUGUGGGGUGCUCGAGUGCCGAAGGCGUGAGUAUCACGUGAGUAUCCUGCCCUUGUCUUUGGGGGAACAUCAGGAAACUGGGGCUAAUACAGGAUAGGAUCUCCUGCUCCGUGGUGGGCGUUGGAAAGUUUCGGCGUUUGGGGAUGGACUUGCGGCUUACGAGCUUGUUGGUGGGGUAGGUGGCUACCAAGCCUUUGACGGCUACCCGGCCUGAGAGAGUGAUCGGCCACACGGGAGCUGAGACACGGACAAGAGGCCUACGGGAGGCAGCAGUAGGGAAUGUUAGGCAGUGGGCGAGAGCCUGACACAGCGAGGCCGCGUGUGUGAUGAAGGCCUCCGGUGCGGAAAGCCGUCUUUUUGGUGAAGAACAGCUGUCGACUGAGACGAAGCGUUAGUGACGGUACCGAAUAAAGAAGCACCGGCUAACUACGUG